GAUGAACGCUGGCGGCGUGCCUAAUACAUGCAAGUCGAACGCUGGAGAUCUAGCUUGCUAGAUCGAAGGAGUGGCGAACGGGUGAGUAAUACAUAAGCAACCUACCCACGAAGACUGGGAUAAUCUCUGGAAACGGGGACUAAUACCGGAUAGGUAAUCGGAAGGCAUCUUCUGGUUAUUAAAGGUUAAAAACACUGGUGGAUGGGCUUAUGGCGCAUUAGUUAGUUGGUGAGGUAACGGCCCACCAAGACGAUGAUGCGUAGCCGGCCUGAGAGGGUGAACGGCCACAUUGGGACUGAGACACGGCCCAGACUCCUACGGGAGGCAGCAGUAGGGAAUUUUCGGCAAUGGGGGCAACCCUGACCGAGCGACGCCGCGUGAGUGAAGACGGCCUUCGGGUUGUAAAGCUCUGUUGUAAGGGAAGAACGGUAGAUAGAGAAUAUCUAAGUGACGGUACCUUACCAGAAAGCCACGGCUAACUACGUG
rnacentral:rRNA from 1 species